UCCACUUCCUUGACAGCGCCACAAUGACGUGGUCCUCUCCGAAGGCCACUGGAAAGCUACCGCGCGGGCGGGAAAGCCA
rnacentral:ribozyme from 13 species